CGAUGGCCUUAUUAAUCAGUUUAUUAUUCAAUGGGUCAGAAUUUGCAUUUUGAACAUACCACUUUCUACCAUGCGUGCUGUUACUUAGUUGUGUGACUUACGUUGUCUACCAAAGUGAAAGCUUCUGAAGAUACCAUCACAGAGACCAGUACAGGGCCUCGCCCAACAUGGUCUCAGUAAAGAUCUCAAGAAUAAAUAAAAAGUGGGAAGAUGACACAGUAUGGAAAAUGUUAUCUGUGGGAGGAAUAAAAGUCAAACAUAUGAUGUGUCAACGAAUGACUUUCACUUUGAUUUUGAAAACACC